UACGUAGGGUGCAAGCGUUGUCCGGAAUUAUUGGGCGUAAAGAGCUCGUAGACGGUCUGUCGCGUCUGCUGUGAAAACUCAGGGCUUAACCCUGAGCUUGCAGUGGGUACGGGCAGACUAGAGUGCGGUAGGGGAGACUGGAAUUCCUGGUGUAGCGGUGAAAUGCGCAGAUAUCAGGAGGAACACCGGUGGCGAAGGCGGGGUCUCUGGGCCGUAACU
rnacentral:rRNA from 1 species